CAACCAUCCAGAGCAACCGAGAGACCUGGCUCAUCGACGUUGCAGCAACCCCCGUUCGCGGUGAGGGUGCUACCGCCAGGACCGAUGGAGG
rfam:Actinomyces sp. CtC 72 NODE_24_length_46757_cov_26.5261_ID_47, whole genome shotgun sequence.